GCUAAGGAGUGAGUAUGGGUGCCCAGGGUCAGGCUCUGGUGGUGAUUUGUGGGGCAGGUUCACCCGCCAGCGGCUCUGCAUUUGCGCUGCCCGUCUGAGCUGAGAUCGGGCAGCAGAAGGCAGGACAGCUCACACAGCUGAGCUGAGCCUGCAGCGGCAGGGAGUGCUCCGUUUAGGCGGCCGCUGGCCGGGCAGCUUAUUAAGCUGAUGUGAGCCGGCAGCAGCGGAAAGCACCAGAACGGGUGGGCAGCUAGCAAUAGUAAAGCCUGCCAGUGCGGAAGGGAGGAGGGGGGAGAAGGAGAAGCUGCCUCUAACGCUAACUGGACUGGCUCUUGUCCUGGGGGAGGGCUGCUGCACAUACCCAGACUCAGCAGCUCCUUCUCCCUUGGACACUGUGCUGUCAGCCAGCCAGCCACCGUGUCCUGUCUAGAUCCUCCUGCCUAUGACCUCCUCAUCGUCCUGUACCUGGGUCCGACGGCCUCCCUCAGUGACACCUUGCAGCUCAUCUUGAUGUUGAUUGGACACAGUGCGAGUCCCCAGUUCUUCUUCUCUGAAGCAGUCCUGCUCUUGCCAUCAAAAACGGGAUCUGACGUCACAAUCUUAUGACCAGCCCUGGUGCGAAAAACCAGGGAGGACAGGAGAGUCGCCCAGCAAUUGCUGCAGCUCUGGCAUGGGCCCAGGGUUGGGGUUCCUCGUCCCUCUGCCUAGGGUUCUAGUAGCGAGAUCCAGUUGAAGAGUUGAUCCCGGGCGAAAAAUCCAGGUACGUCAACUGACAACGGCAUCUGCAUAGACAUCCCACCUUUGCUUACCUGGUAUGUGCACUGUGUACCUGUUAUGCAUACCUGCUGCACUAACCCUGUGUCAUCCUGCAAAC